GGAGACUGAUAGCAGGUUUCCAUUAACUGCUGCUCCUAUCAACAAUCAUGAAGGAACAAAGACUUAAAAAGUGGGUCCUCUUCAGGAGAAUUACAUCCUUGAGAAUAAACGUUCCACGCCUGAUCACUGCCACCUACCACCGAGUCAGUCAAGUCAGACUCAGUCCACCUGUCAACCUGCCUACAUAAUCCCUCCUCAGUCUGCUCAUCCCCGCCGGAACGUCUUCGCCCUUCAUUCUACCUUUCACCAGCCUUCUUCCUUGUCUUUCGUCCCUCGUCGUUUGCCUCGCCGUCUCCUUCGCCUCACGUCCGCCUGCUCCUGCCAUCAUCUCCCACCUGCUCCAGUCUGGGUCAGUUCCUUCCCCACCAACCAUCGCCUUUAAUAAACUGUUGAAAACCAAACUCUGUGUGGCUGAAUUCUGGUUCACCAAUCUCAGUACCUGACAGUUUAUUACGACCCAUUUAGAUCACUAAUCUACUACCAAAUUGUAGAAUAAGCUGCUACAAAUCAAACAAAUGUUUUUAAAUCUGCUAUUGAAACACAUUAUUUCUCCUUGACUUUUAACUCAGUUUGAGAAGUUUUUUAUUUAUUUUCGUUCUGUCAUUGUAUUUAUUUUGUAUUAGUUUUCGAAUGUUUUAUUAGAACAAUAACGUCCUCGUCCUCUGGUAAUGUUACAGACAUAAAAUGAAUGAACAACUAGGCUAAUUGUUUCAGCUGCCCUCUGUAGUUUUAUUCUCA